rnacentral:rRNA from 1 species
GAACGAGGAUAUAUCCUUCGGGGUAUAAACCGAGUGGCGCAAGGGUGAGUAAUGCAUAGAUUACCUACCUCUAGGAUAAGGACAACUUUGUGAAAACGAAGCUAAUACUUAAUAAUACAAAUGGAAAUAAUUUUCAUUUGUCAAUGGGAGGGUAGCAAUACCUUUUGCCUAGAGAGGGGUUUAUGUCCUAUCAGCUUGUUGGUGGGGUAAUGGCCUACCAAGGCGAAGACGGGUAGCCGGUCUUAGAGGAUGGUCGGCCACACUGGGACUGAGACACUGCCCAGACUUCUACGGAAGGCUGCAGUCGAGAAUCUUUCGCAAUGCCCGAAAGGGUGACGAAGCGACGCCGCGUGAGUGAGGAAGGCCUUCGGGUUGUAAAGCUCUGUCAGGAGUUAAGAAAUAUAAGUGUGUUAAUACCACAUUUAUUUGACGAAGGCUCCAAAGGAAGCCACGGCUAACUCUGUGCCAGCAGCCGCGGUAAUACAGAGGUGGCAAGCGUUGUUCGGAAUUAUUGGGCGUAAAGAGCACGUAGGUGGGUUUGUAAGUCAGAUGUGAAAGCCUUCUGUUCAACGGAAGAAUUGCAUCUGAAACUGCGAGUCUUGAGUGUAGGAGGGGAGAAUGGAACUUCUGGUGGAGCGGUGAAAUGCGUAGAUAUCAGAAGGAACGCCGGCGGCGAAAGCGAUUCUCUGGCCUAUUACUGACACUCAGUGUGCGAAAGCUAGGGGAGCAAACGGGAUUAGAUACCCCGGUAGUCCUAGCCGUAAACGAU